rnacentral:rRNA from 1 species
CUCCGGGUUGCUGCAGUGGGGAAUAUUGGACAAUGGGGGAAACCCUGAUCCAGCAAUGCCGCGUGUGUGAAGAAGGCCUGCGGGUUGUAAAGCACUUUCGGUUGGGAGGACUGCUUCUAGCACUAAUAUUGUUGGAAGUUGACGUUACCUUCAGAAGAAGCACCGGCUAACUCCGUGCCAGCAGCCGCGGUAAUACGGGGGUGCAAGCGUUAAUCGGAAUUACUGGGCGUAAAGCGCGCGUAGGCGGCUAGAUCAGUCGGGUGUGAAAGCCCCGGGCUUAACCUGGGAACUGCAUCCGAUAAUUUCUAGCUUGAGUACAGGAGAGGAGAGUGGAAUUCCACAUGUAGCGGUGAAAUGCGUAGAUAUGUGGAGGAACACCAAUGGCGAAGGCAGCUCUCUGGCCUGAUACUGACGCUGAGGUGCGAAAGCGUGGGGAGCAAACAGGAUUAGAUACCCGUGUAGUC